rnacentral:rRNA from 1 species
UACGAAGGGGGGCUAGCGUUGCUCGGAAUCACUGGGCGUAAAGCGCACGUAGGCGGACUCUUAAGUCAGGGGUGAAAUCCUGGAGCUCAACUCCAGAACUGCCUUUGAUACUGGGAGUCUUGAGUUCGGGAGAGGUGAGUGGAACUGCGAGUGUAGAGGUGAAAUUCGUAGAUAUUCGCAAGAACACCAGUGGCGAAGGCGGCUCACUGGCCCGAUACUGACGCUGAGGUGCGAAAGCGUGGGGAGCAAACAGGG